rnacentral:lncRNA from 1 species
UUCUGUCCACAAGUUAGUGAAACAGUUGCAUUGCAUAGUUUUGUUCACUCCAACUUGCUGCUUCCUCCACAUGAUACAGGACCCUUCUCUAAGGAGGCCUCUGGAUCUUGGUAGAGAGGAGUCUGGUUUAUACAAGCUUGCAUGGGCUCCAGCUUCCUCUUCUUCCUCUACUGGUUCCUCUACUACUUGUUAAUCUUCUUUUGUAUACUCUAAAUCUGGCUCUUGUAAUCUUGACAAUUCUUCUUUUACUGGUUGCCAUAAAGAUGUUUCUUUACCUUCCAAUGUAAAUAGUCUGCUCUGUAAUAGCGUUUUUGCAACUGACAUGAAUUACAUCUGGCAUUUGAGACUUGCUCAUACUUCAUUUUCAAAUAUGAAAUACAUUUCUGGAUUAUCUUUUCCCUUAGCCUCUAAGCAGUCUUUCCCUUGUUCUAUAUGUCCUAUGGCUAAACAGACAAGACUUCCCUUUCCUGAUAGCACAAUAACCACUUCUAGACCUUUCCAACUGAUUCGUGUGUACACUUGGGGCCCCUAUCACACUCCUACUUCUUCUGGUUGUAGAUAUUUUCUUACAAUUAUUGAUGAUUUCUCUAAGGCUACCUCGACACAUUUACUGGGAUCUAAAAGCAAUGCCUUCUUCCUGCUUAAAUCAUUUCUGUGUAUGGUUAAAACUCAGUUUAAUGUUGUGGUUCAAAUUGUUAGAAGUGAUAAUGCUUUGGAACUAGGGUCUAGCAUUGAGGGUGUUUCUUUCUUUAGUAAUCAAGGGAUUAUUCACCAAACCACCUGUCCUCAUAGUCCCCAACAAAAUGGUGUUGUGGAAAGGAAACAUAGGACUCUUCUUGAAACAUGUAUAGUGUUACUUUUUCAAUCUGGCCUACCAAUCUCUUUCUGGGGGGACUGCUUACUAACGGCCACCUAUCUCCUUAAUAGACUACCAUCCAGACUCCUUAAUCAUAAAUGCUAACUAACUGCCACCUAUCUCCUUAAUAGACUACCAUCCAGACUCCUUGCUCAUAAAUCUCCCUUUGAAGUUUUACAUGGAAAGGCACCAGCCUACUCCCAUUUGAGAGCUUUUGGGUGCCUUGCCUAUGCUACUGUUCCAAUUCCUCAAAGGGACAAAUUGAAACCUAGAGCCUUUUCCUGUGUCUUCAUUGGGUAUUCUUUUGCCAAAAAAGGUUAUAAACUUUAUGACCUUACUUCAAAGAAAUACUUUGUUUCCAGGGAUGUUGUAUUUCAUGAAUCCUCUUUUCCAUUUAAGAAUGUUUCAUCUCCUGUUCCUUCCUCUUUUCCCUCAGUUCCUUCUCUUGAGCCUUCCUUCUCUGACACUGACUUGUUGAUACCUGUUUGUUCCUCUCCUCCUCCUCCUUCUGCCACCACUUCUUCUUCUUCUAAUCCAGCCUCCAUUCCUUCCUUCAAUCCUGAUACCUCUCCUCCUAAUUUUCCUUCUUCCACAUCUGCUCCUGCUCCCAGAAAGUCUGGAAGAUAGCAUAAUCCUCCAUCUUAUCUUAAGGACUAUGUCUGUCAACUUCCUGCCUUUUCUGGCUCCCCUUCUUCUUCUAAUCCAGCCGCCAUUACUUCCUUCAAUCCUGAUACCUCUCCUCCUAAUUUUCCUUCUUCCACAUCUGCUCCUGCUCCUAGAAAAUCUGGAAGACAGCAUAAUCCUCCAUCUUAUCUUAAGGACUAUGUCUGUCAACUUCCUN